rnacentral:lncRNA from 1 species
GUCUGAAAACAAAAUGGCGAUCUAGAAGUUGAUUUUAAAUUAUAAAAAUUUAUUUUGAAAUUCUUUUUAAACAUUUCGAUGGGUUAAAAAAAAAAUAAAUGAUUUUAUUUAUCGUUUAUGAAGAAAUUUCGGAGGGAAUUCCCUAGUUCUUUAGAAGGACUAAAGUACAGUGUAAAAUAAGAAUAUUAAUGGCAUAUUUGGAAUGCUUAUUGGCAUUUACUCGGGUAGACUACUACUGUGGUUUGGUCGUCCACUUGGAGAUUCAGGUGACACGAAGUAAACCUAGAAAAAUUUUUGGAUUAUUACCAAAUUAUAAAAAAAAAAAAAAAUUCCAUGAUGGUAGUUAUACUCACAGUGGGACAGUCGGUGUCACGACAAUAAUGUUAUCGACGACCCAUUUUUCGUGGCCUUUCCGAAAGUAGCCAUUGAAGUGGUUAUAACCUAUCUCGAUUUUUGAUAUAUCUUCCAAUUUUUUAGACGAAUUGACACGCUUCAUAACAGGCUUUCCCGGUAUUAAUUUACCUCGUUUCCUGAAAGAAAGUAUUGUUUAGAGAUUGUCAAAUAUAACGAAAUACAGAUUAACAUCGCGUUAAUCAUGAAAUAUCUCUUACGAAAUGCGAAAAAAAAAAUCCCCGAAUUAGCUUCCUGUUUCGAAUACCAAAAUCGGUUUAUAUAUUUAUCUCUCGUUACUAAUGCACGCAAUACAUAAAAGGGAAUUAUCUGCCACAGUCAACGUCAGAUGAUCAUAGUGGUGUGUACAAGUAUAUUCAGGGCCGGCUCAACAUAUGAUCGAGCGGAGUGCCAGCUCAAGGAGCCGAAGGAUGCUAGCACAUUUUGUGUUUUAUUAUUAUUAUUGUAAUAACGCCAAUUAUUUUUACACAUAAUUUAAACCGUCAGAUCGGAAG